UACAGAGGUGGCAAGCGUUGUUCGGAAUUACUGGGCGUAAAGCGCGUGUAGGCGGCCUGCCAAGUCUGCUGUGAAAGCGCCUGGCUUAACCGGGCGAGGUCGGUGGAAACUGGCGGGCUGGAGGACGGUAGAGGGGGGUGGAAUUCCCGGUGUAGUGGUGAAAUGCGUAGAGAUCGGGAGGAACACCAGUGGCGAAGGCGGCCCCCUGGGCCGUUCCUGACGCUGAGACGCGAAGGCGCGGGGAGCGAACGGG
rnacentral:rRNA from 1 species